rnacentral:rRNA from 1 species
UACGUAGGGGGCAAGCGUUGUCCGGAUUUAUUGGGCGUAAAGGGCGCGCAGGCGGCGCUUCAAGUCCGUUGUGAAAUUUCAGGGCUUAACCCUGACGGGUCAACGGAAACUGAAGGGCUAGAGUGCAGCAGAGGAAAGCGGAAUUCCCGGUGUAGUGGUGAAAUGCGUAGAGAUCGGGAAGAACAUCGGUGGCGAAGGCGGCCUGCUGGGCUGUUGCUGACGCUGAGGCGCGACAGCGUGGGGAG